rnacentral:rRNA from 1 species
ACGUAGGGAGCCAGCGUUGUCCGGAUUUACUGGGUGUAAAGGGCGCGUAGGCGGACCGGUCAGUCAGAGGUGAAAUCCCGCAGCUUAACUGCGGAGCUGCCUUUGAUACUGCCGGCCUUGAGUUCAGAAGAGAGAGAUGGAAUUCCAGGUGUAGUGGUGAAAUACGUAGAUAUCUGGAAGAACACCAGUGGCGAAGGCGAUCUCUUGGUCUGUAACUGACGCUGAGGCGCGAAAGCGUGGGUAGCAAACAG